CAGUGAUCUGUGUUUAGCUAAGGAUUUGCGAGGAAACCACAAGUGUGUUGAAAAUGUUUCGAGACAGAACUGUCCAGUGUGUAUGGAGGAUAUUCACACUUCCAGAAUUAGAGCGCAGGUCCUGCCAUGCAGUCACCUUCUGCAUAAGUAUGA